UACGUAGGGCGCGAGCGUUGUCCGGAUUUAUUGGGCGUAAAGAGCUCGUAGGCGGCUUGUCGCGUCGUCCGUGAAAACUUGGGGCUCAACCCCAAGCUUGCGGUCGAUACGGGCAGGCUAGAGUUCGGUAGGGGAGACUGGAAUUCCUGGUGUAGCGGUGAAAUGCGCAGAUAUCAGGAGGAACACCGGUGGCGAAGGCGGCAUCCUGGACCAACACUGACACUGAGGAGCGAAAGCCAGGGGAGCAAACGGG
rnacentral:rRNA from 1 species